GUCGGGAUAGCUCAGUUGGUAGAGCAGAGGACUGAAAAUCCUCGUGU
rnacentral:tRNA from 11 species